rnacentral:rRNA from 1 species
GGAAUAUUGGACAAUGGGGGCAACCCUGAUCCAGCAAUGCCGCGUGUGUGAAGAAGGCCUGAGGGUUGUAAAGCACUUUCAGUGGGGAGGAGGGUUACUGGGUUAAGAGCUGAGUAAUUGGACGUUACCCACAGAAGAAGCACCGGCUAACUCCGUGCCAGCAGCCGCGGUAAUACGGAGGGUGCGAGCGUUAAUCGGAAUGACUGGGCGUAAAGGGUGCGUAGGUGGUUUAUUAAGUUGUUGGUGAAAUCUCCGGGCUUAACCUGGGGUUGACGAAUAAAACUGAUGAACUCGAGUAUAGGAGAGGGUAGUGGAAUUUCCGGUGUAGCGGUGAAAUGCGUAGAGAUCGGAAGGAACACCAGUGGCGAAGGCGGCUACCUGGCCUGUUACUGACACUGAAGCACGAAAGCAUGGGGAGCAAACAGGAUUAGAUACCCUGGUAGUCCACGCUGUAAACGAUGUCAACUAGCUGUUGGUCAUAUAAAUAUGAUAAGUGGCGAAGCUAACGCGAUAAGUUGACCGCCUGGGGAGUACGGUCGCAAGAUUAAAACUCAAAUGAAUUGACGA